AAAUCAGAAGUGGCUUUUUACCAAGACUGGCAGAAUGUGAGGACAUCUCUCGCGGAAAGAGAGAUAGUGGCCCAGAACCUCCCAUAGCCAAUUUGCUAAUGGAGCCACCUUUUAUGCAGACAGGGCAAGAGGCCAGAUUCAACCCCAUCUUCCACAACAGGACAGCUUCCUGGGUGACCAAAAGCAUCCUGGGAUUUGCUUGUGAGCUGGACAUAAUAGACUCUACGGGCUGCCUCCAGUAUGGGCCUCAACAGUCAAAAGGCACCUUUGCACUCACCUAAGAAGGUGUUGGAAAUAUAUUCAGAGACCUGGUUUCCAGAGCGGCUCAUUUCAGAGAGGCUUUGAGAAAGAGAACAACGACAAAAGAAGACGUUAUUGGAUCAGAACAAAGCGCCCAUCUAGUCCAACAUUUGGCUGGCACAGGGGCCAACAAGAUUCACAUGGGAAGUCCAGAAGCAAGACAUGAAUAUAACUGCCUCUGAGGGCAAACAUCAUGGCCAGAUGAUGGCAGCCACAUGGUCCAUGAAUACCUGUGAGUCACUACUUGUGAGUAAAUGUGUGUGAGAAUAAACAUGUGUGCCAUAUCUUGAA